UUCAUUUUCAAUGUUGCUAGAGUUGUUAAAAGAUGUGCUUCCUAAAGGUGAAACAUUACCCAAGUCCUUUAAUGAUUCAAAAAAAAUUAUUAAAGAUUUAGGGCUUGAGUACAAAAAAAUACAUGCAUGUCCAAAUGAUUGUAUGAUUUAUUGGAAUGAGACAGAAGAUCAAAUAAAUUGUAAGAUCUGUAAAGCUCCAAGAUACAAAUAAUUUAAAGGUGAAUCAAUAGACAAUAGUUCAAAAAGUUCAAACAUUCCAGCAAAAGUGUUUAGAUAUUUUCCAUUGAUACCACGACUUCAAAGACUAUUUAUGUCGACUAAAACAUCUACCGAAAUGAGAUGGCAUGCAGAAGGUCACACUAAAGAUGGGGUAAUGCGACAUCCUGCUGACAGUAUUGCUUGGAGGAAUUUUGAUGAAACACAUGUUGAUUUCGCUCAAGAUCUUCGGAAUGUUAGACUUGGACUGGCUUCAGAUGGCUUUAGUCCAUUCAAGUCUAUGUCUAUCUCACAUAGCACAUGGCCGGUCAUCUUGAUUCCUUAUAACUUGCCACUAUGGUUGUGCAUGAAACAACCAUAUAUGAUAUUAUCAAUGAUUAUUGAUGGCCCUCGUGCUCCAGGUAAUGACAUUGAUGUCUAUCUAAGACCCUUAGUUGAUGAGUUAAAAGAAUUAUGGAUUGGUGUUUCCACUUAUGAUGCAUCAAAUAAUCACAUGUUUCAAAUGCGUGCAUCAUUACUUUGGACAAUCAGUGAUUUUCCUGCAUUAGGUAACUUAUCAGGAUAUGGCGUGAAAACAAGAUAUGCUUGUCCUUGUUGUCUUACCAAGACUAAGUUUAGAAGAUUGAAAAAUGGACAGAAGUAUUGUUUUAUGUCUCAUAGACGAUGGUUACCUCAUGGUCACAAGUUUUGAAAAGAUAAAGUUACGUUUGAUGGCCUUGCAGAAUUGGAGGUAGCACCUAAACGAGUGUCAGGAAUUGAGAUUCUUAAGCAAACGAAGAAUAUUAGAAAUAAAUUUGGAAAAGAUCCAUUGGCCAAGUCUCGUAAAAGGAAAUGGGGGGAUGUUGAUGAUGUUGGUAAUGUGUUGGAAAAUAUAUGGAACAAAAGGAGCAUAUUUUUUGAGUUGGAAUACUGGAAAGACAAUAUGAUGCGUCGUAAUCUUGACACAAUGCAUAUUGAGAAGAAUGUUUUUGACAACAUAUUCUGGACAUUAUUGAAUGUUGAUGGCAAAGGAAAAGACAAUUUGAAGUCUCGUUUGGAUUUACAAGAGAUGAGGAUCCGAAAAGCUUUGCAUCCUAAGAAAAAAGUUAACGGGAAAUAUUAUCUACCACCUACAUGUUUCACAUAGAGUAACAAACAAAAAGACAUGCUUUUACAAGUUUUAAGAGAUGUGAAAGUUCCAGAUGGUUAUUCUUCAAAUAUAUCAAAUUGUGUUGAUCUUAAACGACGCACUAUGCAUGGAUUGAAGAGUCAUGACUGUCAUGUUUUAAUGCAACAACUCCUUCCUAUAGCCUUGAGGAAUCUUGUGCCAGUUAAUGUACUUAAGCCAUUAAUUGAGUUAAGCAAUUUUUUUAGGGGCAUUUCUUCAACAGUUAUGAAGAUAGGUGAAUUAGAAAAGCUCCAAGAUCGAGUUGCAAUAACUUUUUGUCAUUUGGAGAGAAUAUUUCCUCCAUCUUUUUUUGACAUCAUGGAGCAUCUAGUUAUCCAUUUAGCUGAAGAAGUAAUGUUGGGUGGACCAUCCCAAUAUCGUUCAAUGUGGGCAAUUGAAAGGUUCUUGCUUAGUCUUAAAAACUUUGUAAGAAGUAGAAGUCAUCCAGAAGGUUGCAUUGCAGAGGGACAAUGGAUACAAGAGAUCAUGACAUUCUGCUCAAGAUACUUAGAUGAUGUGGAGACAAAGUCUAAUCGACCAUUAAGAAAUAAUACUUUGUCUAAUGAAACAAUUGAUCUGGAGGGUCGUCGAUCAAGUAAAGAGAAAGGAUUUAUUCUUGAUGACAUUACACAUGCUCAAGCACACAGACAUGUUUUAUUUAAUUCUGCCUCCACAACUCCAUAUCGUGAAGAGCAUAUAAAAGAAAUCAAGAAGGGAAAUCCUCGUCUAUCAAGACAUGAUGUGGAUCGGAUUCAGAAUGAAAAAUUUCAAACAUGGCUUAGAAAUCAUGUUGAGAAGAUGCAUUUGGCUGGUGAACAAAUACCUCAAGAUAUUCAACAUUUAGUUGUUGGCCCAUCAAAGCAAGCAAAAAGGAUGACGGGAUAUAUAUGUAAUGGAGUUAGAUACUUAACAAAAUCUCGUGAUUCCAAGAGAAAAACUCAAAAUAGUGGUAUAAUGGUAAAAGCUACCACUCAAAGUUAUGCGAGUGCAAGAGAUAAAAAUCCCAUAUUGGCAGAUGUUUCUUUUUAUGGGAUCCUCACAGACAUAAUUGAGUUGUGGUACACCAAGAAGGCCAAGUUUGUAUUAUUUACCUGUAAAUGGGUGAACAACAAUAAAGGGCUUAUUGAGAAAGAUGAUUAUGGAUUUACUCUUGUGAAUUUUAAUCAUCUACUCUACACAAAACAACAUUUAUCAAAUGAACCUUUCAUCUUUGCUUCUCAAGCUCAACAAGUUUUUUAUGUCGAUCAUCCAAUGGAAAAUGAGUGGCAAAUUGUUGUUAAAUUUAAGCCAAGAGGAUUUUAUGAUUUAGGUGAAGAUACACCAUCAAUUGAGCAUAAGGAAGGCCAUAUGGAAUUGUGGCCUGAGCAACAAUUGGAUGACACUACAUUUGAAAGUGAAGACGAUAUUGAAUGGGUUAGACAUGGAGUACCAGGAAUAGAGAUCGACCCACAAACUUUGGAAUGUAAUGAAGCAUUUGAUGAAGAUGAUGAUACAUCUUAAUUUUUAUUACUAUUAUGUUAUUAUGAUUAUUUUAAUUUAGAUUGUUAUUGAACAAUAUAAAUUUUUGCGUUUUUUACUAUGUCAUUCAGUUGUUAAAAUCUCGUAUGGUUAUGUGUUUUGUUAUUCAUAUGCUUAUGUGUCUUAUUAUUUAACUUGAUAGUUAGAUAUUAUUUUUGUACUUUUGGACUGUAGAAAAUAUUUUUCAAUUUGCAGGUAUCAUAGCUCUUGAGCAAAUUUUAUUGAAAUGGGAAGAAAAAGACAAAGAAAUUCUAUUCAAGGUGAGAUUUUAUAUAACUCUCUGGAGCAACAAGAACAACAAAUGGGAAGUGCAUCAAUGCCCCAACCACCUCAAAAUUGGCCACGAAAUGAAAAAGAAGUGCAUCCUGAUAACAUCUCAAGAAAUGAUUCACAUAAUUUAGAAAAUCUUCCAGAUUUUAGUGAGAACGGGGAGCAGUCUAAGCGAUCUAGGUGUCCCACUAUGAUGCACUCGGGAUGGGGAAAAGAUGGUGGCAUUUUACACGUUGAGUUGAAUGAUCUUGGCCAACCUAUUGGGCCAGAAUGAUGUAGAUUGAGUUCAAAACUUGGCGUCUUAGCACGAAAUGGCAUUUUAGCUCCAUUAAAUCAUAAAGAUUGGAGGCUUCUGCCUAGUCUCUAUAAGAACAAGAUAUGGACAGAUA